UCAAGAAACUUCCACAAUGGGCGAAAGCCUGAUGGAGCGACGUCGCGUGAUGGACGAAGUGCUUCGGCACGUAAACAUCUUUUAUGUGGGAUGAAAUUAUUGACAGUACCACAUGAAUAAGGGGCUCCUAACUCUGUGCCAGCAGGAGCGGUAAUACAGAGGCCCCAAGCGUUAUCCGGAAUCACUGGGCGUAAAGGGUGUCGAGGCGGUUGUAUUAGUCGUUCGUAAAAUCUACGAGCUUAACUUGUAGGCGGCGAACGAAACGGUACGACUUGAGGUUUGGAGAGGUGCGUGGAACUCACGGUGUAGGGGUGAAAUCCGUUGAUAUCGUGGGGAACACCAAAGGCGAAGGCAGCGCACUGGCCAAAAUCUGACGCUCACGCACGAAAGCUAGGGUAGCGAAGAGGAUUAGAUACCCCUGUAGUCCCUGAGCGGGCUGGCAAGGCGCAU
rnacentral:rRNA from 1 species